GGAGUGAGGGGGCAAGGGUUUAAGUUUAUUAUCAAGGAACAGCAGCAAACCUUACUGGGGGUUCACCCUGUGCCAAGCAGGCUCUGAGUGCUGUGUACAGCCUCUUGGCCACCUAAUCCUCCAACAGUUCAGUGAGGUAACCACUACCCUCACCCCCGUUUUACAGAGGUGGAAACCGAGGGUUUAGACAGCUGAAGUAACUUGCACAAAAUCACAUGGCAAUAGUAGAGAUGCGAUUCAAACCCUAGGGAAUACGAUUCCAGAACCUCACUGUUAACCAGGAAGCUGGUGUUUCUCAAACUCGCCUGAUUUCAUCUGGAGAGGGGAAAGAUAUUGAAAACGACAAGGCUUACCGUAUCAACAGAAGAGACCUGACAACUUGGCUCAGGGUUCGCGAUACAGGCCUCACCGUGUUCUGACUCUGAGAGGGACAGGAUUUCUUCCUGGUCAAGCCGAAACUUUUCCUGCCAAAGUGUCUCCUACUGAAGUCUGUGGCUACUUGGGAUUCUCAGGGCAUGGGUUGUUCUGGGUGACUGCAAUUUCCAAAUAGCUAAAGGCGUAUUCCUUAAACUACACUUACCUUUUAUUAUUACUAUUUUGGAUGGAAGUCAUCACCCCUAUUUCAGCUUUCAUAAAAUGGUUAUAAUGAACAUAAUUUAACUCAUCCUUGGUGACUCUGGGCUUUUCUUAGGAGCAUCGGUAAUGUUGCUAUGCAGUGGCACGUUGAUGUUCACAGAGCCAUUCUGGAUACAUCAAGGUGUUUGUCCCUUCAUUAGAGAAUCCUGACUCCAGUGUUUUUACGUGCAGUGUCUACUUACUUCAGUUUUUCUGUGUCUUCUCUAUCAGCACUCACUUCUCAUUGCAAUCAGGGGGCCUGCUUCUACACAGCCUCUCUCAUCCUUUCUACCUACCCCUCCAUUGCCUCUAAUUUACUUGAUUCUGAUCAG
rnacentral:lncRNA from 1 species